UAGUUCUAUCAACCCCUAAUCACUAUUAGAUGACUCCAUAUUUUAUGGAAGACACUAUGCUUGAACUAGUAACAAGAAUAUGAAAUUCUCCUAAAUGUAAGUGUAAGCCCUAACAGACAGACUAACGGCAAUUAACAUUAAUGAGCCCCUUACAACAACCCCCAAGAAAAACUUGUAGGAUAUAAUGUUAACCUAACACAAGGACAUUUUAGGAAAGAUUAAAAGGAGGAGAAGGAACUCGGCAAAUAUUGACCCCGCCUGUUUACCAAAAACAUCGCCUCUUGUUUAAUCAUAAGAGGUCCAGCCUGCCCAGUGAUUAUUAAACGGCCGCGGAAUCCUAACCGUGCUAAGGUAGCACAAUUACUUGCCCUUUAAAUGGGGGCCUGAAUGAAUGACAUCACGAGGGUUGCACUGUCUCCUCUUCCCAAUCAGUGAAACUGACCUCCCUGUGAAAAGGCAGGAAUAAAAAUAUUAGACGAGAAGACCCCAUGGAGCUUUAGACAACGGACAAAUCAAACUCACACCCCAACAAGUAUAAGAUUAAUGUCUUCAAGUCUUCGGCUGGGGCGACCAUGGAGUAAAAAUUAACCUCCAUACCGAAUGGACAUUUCCUUAUCUAAGAGCUACAUCUCUAAGAAACAGAAUACUGACGCCCACUGAUCCGGAAACCGAUCAUUGAACCAAGUUACCCUGGGGAUAACAGCGCUAUCCGCCUUAAGAGUUCAUAUCGACAGGCGGGUUUACGACCUCGAUGUUGGAUCAGGGUGACCUAGUGGUGCAGCCGCUACAUGAGGUUCG
rnacentral:rRNA from 1 species